UAUAAAUGCUUAAAAUGCUCUUGGAUAUUAGCACUAUAUACUAAUAUGUCAUCAAAAAAUACAAUUAUAAAUUUUCUCAAUACCUUCUCAAAUGUGAGUCCCAUGUAAUUCCUCCAUGAUCAGAGCCCGAAGUGACGACAAUGGCCACACACAAAAUUGGUUGUUGAAGAAGAUCAAUCUAUCCUUCUCCUUAAACCAUGUUUUGUCUGAGUGAUUAUUAAUCUGUUGUUGAAUGUUCUGCAGCCAGGGGUCUGACUCGUUUUCCUUCCGAAGCUGUCAGUGCACGCAGUUGGGUGUUGAUUUUCCCUUCCGAAGGCAUUCUAAAUAGUGCAUCAACGGCUCCAUUUCCUGCCUUCUUGUAUAUGAUGUUGUAUUUGUACCCCAAUAGUUUGGUUAAAAAAAUUUGUUGCUCCGGUGUCUGAAUGGUUUAUCCGAGUAUGUUUUUGAGGCUUCGAUGAUCCGUACGGAUAGUGAACUCAUUGCCCCAUAAAUAAUGUCACCAUUUUUACACUGUGUCCGUAAUCACCCAUAACGUACUCCUUGGCAUAAGUAGAUGCUUUCUGCCGUAAAGGAAAUAACUUCUUGCUAUAAUAUGCGAUAGGAUGUUCUUUUUGUUACAAGAUUGCUCCCACUCUGACCUCAUAGGCGUCUAUUUCAAUGAUAAAAGGCAAUGAAAAAUCGGGAUAAAUUAAUACUAGGGUGGAAAUUAAUUUUUCCUUGAGAGGUUGUUCAAUGCGGCCAGCGUAUUUUCGUUCCAACGGAAGUUAUCUUUCUUCUACAUGUAGGUUAACGAAGCUGCCAACUAUGCGUAUUGCUCAAUGAAACGUCUAUACUACCCAGAUAGUCCCAAGAAUGCUCGCACCUGCCGAACUUAUUUGGGUUGGGGCCAGGCCUUGACCACUUUAAUUUUAUCUAGAUCGGGUUGAAUCCCUGCUGCUGAAAUAAUGUGACCCAAAUAUGUCAAGCUUGAUACCCCAAACGAGCACCCUUGGAUUCCCUGAUGUAAAAUAAUUUUUGUUGUAAUAAAUCCAGUACUGAUGUCAAAUGUUGUAAAUGCUCCUCCCUUGAAGUGCUAUAAACUAAUACAUCGUUGAAAAAUACGAUUAGUUAUUGUAACUACAUACUACAG
rnacentral:lncRNA from 1 species